UAUGUUAGUUAGUAAAUGCAAGUUACUGCUUUGUGUACAAGGUAGGCUUUGGGAGAACCAGAGCCACUACUUUCUAUUGUUAUUGCUGCCUCAAGAGUUCACUUUAGAACUGACUCAACGGAAAUUACUGGAAACGUUCUUGAGUACAUCUAUUCCAUUAGUUCCUCGGCUUCCUACCUACAAACUAGAAAUGGAUGAAAUUACAUUAUGAGAGGAAACCCAGAGACUAGGGCGGGCUACAGCAUGGAAGCAUUUAGCUUCCCCGCCACAACCAUCCAAAGCGCUGAGCAAAUUGGCACCCCUGUGAGCAGCCUAUGGCAAGUGGGGUCAAAGUCAGAGAAAGGGCACAGACAAAUGUCCCAGUAAUGUGUGUUCUAGACUUUACAGCCAAGCUCACCAUCAAUCCCAAGCAGAAUUCCAGAUAUGACACAAGAAACCAGAGAGGAAGUUUACAAAAUGGCCGCUGGGACCCGAGCUAAGCUAGCCUGGUAAUCCCUUCAAUACAGUGCUUCCAGUCAUGAUGAUUAAUCCGCUGAAGUUGACUACCCGCCCAACGCAGAUGACACCUUGAUGUCCUAAGAUGCCACAGUUUAGAAUUUCCCCAAUUUCACAACUUUACGUCUGUAAAUUAAUUAGAAUAAAAGUCAUAGUUAAGCACAAA